rnacentral:rRNA from 1 species
UACGUAGGGUGCAAGCGUUAUCCGGAAUUAUUGGGCGUAAAGAGCUCGUAGGCGGUUUGUCGCGUCUGCUGUGAAAACCCGAGGCUCAACCUCGGGCCUGCAGUGGGUACGGGCAGACUAGAGUGCGGUAGGGGAGACUGGAAUUCCUGGUGUAGCGGUGAAAUGCGCAGAUAUCAGGAGGAACACCGGUGGGCGAAGGCGGUCUGCUGGGGUAAUGCUGACACUGAUGCGCGACAGCGUGGGGAGCAAACAGG